AUUGUCUAUAUGUACAGAUAUGUUUAUUGCACUUAUUAGUAAAUAAAUUGAUUAGUUGCGUAAUGAGUUUAAAUUUUAGCCAUUUUUUAAAGUUGAUAAUCAUAACGUACUUAAUUAAACAUGCGUGAUGUAAUUUGCAUAGCUAAAUUAAAUGCUCUUUUACUUUAGUUACUGCGCUAAGUGUUGCGCAGUUUGGUUUGUGCGCAGUUUUUCUUCUGCUCUGGAAUUUUGAGAUUGGAAUUUCCAGACUUAUUUUAAAAAGCGCGUUUUCGUUAUAAAUUUUUUUUACAUCUAAUCGUACCUAUCAAGUAGGUCAUAUUCAGUAUAAUCAAUUCAAUCGUUUUCAUUUUUUAUGUUUUAACAUGUCUAUUACCUUUAUUAAAUUUGUUUUUAAGCAUAUUUGUUUUUAUUUUUUAUAUCGAAUUAAUAGAAUGAAUCAGAUUGAAGAUGAAGUUGCUGAAUUACUAAGAAAUGAUGACAAUAUUGAAGCAAG